GAGUAAAGUGGCGAACGGGUGAGUAACGCGUGGGUAACGUGCCCUUCUGUGGGGGACAACCAGGGGAAACCCUGGCUAAUACCGCAUACGCUCUUCGGAGGAAAGGUUGCCUCUCUACGAUGCAAUCGCGGAAGGAGCGGCCCGCGUCCCAUUAGCUUGUUGGUGGGGUAAUGGCCUACCAAGGCGACGAUGGGUAGCCGGCCUGAGAGGGUGAUCGGCCACACUGGGACUGAGACACGGCCCAGACUCCUACGGGAGGCUGCAGUGGGGAAUUUUGCGCAAUGAGCGAAAGCUUGACGCAGCGACGCCGCGUGCGGGAUGAAGGCCUUCGGGUCGUAAACCGCUGUCGCGAGGGACGAACAACCGACGGAUGAAUAAGUCGUCGGCCUGACGGUACCUCGUGAGAAAGCCCCGGCUAACUACGUGCCAGCAGCCGCGGUAAUACGUA
rnacentral:rRNA from 1 species